UCACGCUGCCCACCAGUAGGCGGUGAUUGGCCCUGGGCGGUGCAAUCGCAACUUGUGCGUCACGACGUCGCCAGCUGAUCGGAGACUGGAGCCGGUGUGUGCUGGGCGUUGGGAAGAGAGCGCCGCCGGCCGUGGGGAACGGACGCACUGAUUUGCUCCCCUACUCUCAGCACCCACCACACACCCAGCACCAGAUCCAGGCCCCCAAAACUCCAGCUGAACUCCCUGGGAAUAAGUCAGUUGGGCUGAUCACUGAACUCACAUUUCUGGAACUAAGGCGCCUGUACCUCCCACACUCUCACCUGGCUGAGCCGCAGUAGUUCUUCAGUGGCAAGCUUUAUGUCCUGACCCAGCUAAAGCUGCCAGUUGAAGAACUGUUGCCCUCUGCCCCUGGCUUCGAGGAGGAGAAGGAGCUGCUUUCCCCCUCAUCUGGAAGGUGACAGAACUGGGGCCGGGAAGGUCUGAACAGCAGGAGUGAUGAUGAGAUCUUUCAGGAAAGGGAACCCUGUUCAGUUGGAGAGUCUUCACCCUGAUUGGCACUGCAAGAGAGAACAAUCUUAGAUUAGAAAGCCUGGCUGAACUAGGGAACAGAUGGCCCUAACUACCCAAGGUUAGUCAGUCUUUGUGUGAUAAUAGGAGGAAGUAGAGCAAAGAAGACCCUGUCUAUCCCUUUAUCCAGAAUUUUUCUUGACCCUCCUUCCUUACCCCUCAUUCUUUCCACCAGCCUUUCCAGGUGAGGUCCAGAAGUAAGCUUUCUCUCAGGGAGAAGUUCAUCCUGAAGCUCCCAUCUGAGCAGUCAUGCCGCUGCUCUUACCUUUCCCUGCAUUUUCUUAGACUGGUCCACACUCUAGAUUCAGGGAUACUUAGUAUAUGUGGGACCCUUAGACCUCCUGUCUCGGCUCCUCUACCUUCCUGUGAGAUGGGGAAAUCACCCAAUUGAGUGUGCUUGAGGGUAUCAGAAGCCCAUUUGUGCAGACUCAGAGCUUGGGGUGGGAACAAAACAGCUUUUCACUUAAGCUAUUGCUCCUCCUCCCUCCCUGACCAUAAAUAACCCCAGGAGGUAGGGGUAGGGGGUUGAAGAGUUAGAGGAGCUAGUAGGAGCUCAGUCUCUACAUAGACUCCUCAUCAUGCAAAAGUGGCACCAGGCAUCCUCUGCUACCCAAAACAGGACUACAACCCCUGGUGGGGUUCCCGCGACCACUGCUCUCCUUCCUCACUUUUACUUUCCAGGCUAGUGUGUGAGACUCCGCUCAGACCUGCACAGGGCAGGAAAUUCUCCCCUCUGGCAACCGGGAGAGCUGGGUUCUGGGAUGUGACCCCCACUUUGGAGCACCAGGCAGUGUAAACCUGCCUCCCCCAGCUCCUGACCCAGUCUCACUCUUUGGCUUGGGCUCUGGUGUGGUUCAGCCUUGGCCCAGUCUCCCUGCCUGAAGGUAACUAUGUUCUGGGGCUGCAGGAAGCUGUUUGUUCUAUUUUGGGGGAGGAGGUGUAGAGGGAGCUGGGUCCUGUUCUCCCUUUAUGAGAAACUGAAAGAUUUAGGGGAGAGUAGACCAUUGAACUGAGCUCUCGCAGCCUAAGCUGGAUGUGUGUGGACUGUGGUUAGAAAGGAGCGGGUAAACUGAGUCCACUCAUUGACUUCAACAAAGAUCACUGCAUCCCUGGACGUUGCUUCCAUCCUUCGCUCCCCUUCACCUCGCUUCACUGGCCAAAGGGUUCCCUUCAGCCGUGGAUAUGUGGCUCUGCCAACCUCACCUAUCAUGGAGAAGACAUGAGGAAGAACAGCAGUGAAGAACAGGGCCUGGAGAGCACAGGGACCUGUCUGGGCACCCUGCAGAGGGGGCCUAUAAGAGCCAGGAACGCCGCGGGAAGGAGGAGAACAGCCAGCGUCCAGCAAGGGCAAGCUUUCAGCCACCUGCAGUCUUUCUACCUCCUUCAGAGAUGUGGGACCAUAUUAAAGUGUCCUGCGGUUUCAUCCUCCUACUUCCACCUCUCCUCCGCCCUAUAAUUUUUAUAUAAGCAGCUUCAAGGAACAAGAGCCAGCUUUGAAAGGACAUACAGGAAAGUCAUAAAAGAAAUUGAAAUGGAGAAAAUCAAGGAAAAAUGUGUGCUUCAUUAGUAAUUAAAGAGAGACAAAUAGAGCUAUAAGCAUCUUUCCCAUAGCAAGUUAUAACAAAAAAUAAGACCCAGUUGUUGGCAAAGGGGUGUGCUACAGUAACACUGCCACACAUUGGGGGUACCAAUUGAUACAGUCUUCCUGGAUGUAAGUUUGGUAAUAUGUAUCAAACAUUACCGUGGCCUUUCACCUAGUAAUUCUACAUUGGGGAAUUUAUCCUAAGAAAAUAAAGAUUUAGUUAAAAGGGGUUCAUCCCAGCAUUGCAAUAGAGAAAAAAGGGAUUGGGAAUUCAUUUCUACUGUAACGAAAAUGUGCGGUAGGACGUUGCCUAAGUAAAUCAUUGUAUGUCCAUCCAGAUGGGGGACUGCUGUGCGGCCGUUAAAAUCAUGUGGAAGACAUUGGACUGGAAAGACAAAUGCUCUCUGAAUACUAAAAAGUUUAUCAAAAUAGUGUAUAUCAUGGGAUCUUAAUUUUAUUUUUUUAAGAUAUAUACUUGCACAAUACAUGGAUAAAGACCGAGGACAUACUCCUAAGUGUUAAUAGUGGUUGGUUUGGGUGGUGGAAUAUGGUAAUUGUAAUUUUCCUCCAGUUUUUUUCUGUAGUUUCUAAAUUUACUCGAUUAAUUUUGUAUGGCUUUCAUAGAGCAAAUAAAAUUUUAAAGAAUCAGUGCAAUUGUUUAAAAACUUGGGGU